rnacentral:misc_RNA from 1 species
GGGGGCUUUCCCCUCCCCUGUAGCCGCCGCCGCCUUCCUCCAGGGGUUCUUCCCCUUCCCUGGCGCCGUCGGCCCUCUCCCUCCCUCCCUCGGCCGUCGGCCUCCACCCUUCCCCGGCGCUCCUCCCGCCGCCGGAGCCGUCGGUCGAGCGCUGCGCGCGCUGCUCUACGGACGCCGCGCGCCGUUCGCGGGAGCGCUCCUGCUUUUCUGCAUCGGCGCCGUCAGCGCUGCGGUCGCCACCGCCGCUGCGUGGCUCUCCCUCCCUGGAUCCGCGAGCACCCUGCACGUGCGCCCUGCAGUGCUGCCUCCCACGGAUCCGCCGCGGGCCCGCGCCAUCGGCCCCUCGCCUGCGGCUCGGUUUCACUACACGGUGGUCGGCGGCGGCUUCACCUCCGGCUUCCACCGCCCGUCCACCACAGUGCCGCCUCCUGCGCUCCAGUCUGCAGCCUCGUCGGCCUCCACCAGCGCUGUCUUGCAGCAGCAGCCUCCGUCGCCGAUCCGGACGCCUGCUCGCCGCCGUCGCCUGUCCGGCCGCCUGCGCACCGACCAACAACCCUCCAUCGCUCCCCUGCGUCGGUCCGGUCGCCUGCGCGCCGCCGGCUGCCUACCCUGCGCCCCUGCGCAGCCAGCCGUCGACGACCAUCUCCCCUAGGCCCGGCCGCCGCCUCCUGUUGGCGUCCCCGCUGCUCGACAGCCUUCUCCUUCCUGCUGUUCCUGUCUCGCCGCGCCCCUGCUGUCCCGUGCCUUGGACGCCCGACGCCGAGCAAUCUGCCGCCCCUGCUGUUGCGCGCCCGGUUGUCCAGUCCGCGCCUCCCUGCGUCGGCCUGCACCGGUCGCCAUGAGCUUUACCUCGCCCGCUGCUCUCGUGACUGUGCGUGUCCUCCUCUACGACGGCCAGCUCAUCCGGGGCAUGUUCGUGUCCUUCGACCCAGUCUGGAACCCUAUUCUUCGGGACUGCGUCGAGGUCCACCCUCAGGCGGGCCGUCACGUGCCUGGACCGCUUGUCUUCCCACGUGCUGCGAUCGCCUCCCUAGCGGUUGAGCCCGUGUCAUCUCCCUCCCUUCCUCGUGCCUCCGUCGGGACACCUUCUUUGGCCCUCUCCGCUCACACCGUACCUUCGCCACUUCCACCUCCCCGAACUACCACUGAUUGGGUGGUUGACUCCGGGGCCUCCUUCCACACUACCCCCACCACUACUUCGUUACUCCACUCCCAUCCACCCCACCCCUCACAUCCUACCUCCAUCGUCGUCGACAACGGUUCCAC